GGAGGGGUACCAAAGUGGCCAACUGGGGCGGACUGUAAAUCCGUUGCGAAAGCUUCGAAGGUUCGAAUCCUUCCCCCUCCACCA
rnacentral:tRNA from 3 species